UUAAGCGACUAAGCGUACACGGUGGAUGCCCUGGCAGUCAGAGGCGAUGAAGGACGUGCUAAUCUGCGAUAAGCGUCGGUAAGGUGAUAUGAACCGUUAUAACCGGCGAUUUCCGAAUGGGGAAACCCAGUGUGUUUCGACACACUAUCAUUAACUGAAUCCAUAGGUUAAUGAGGCGAACCGGGGGAACUGAAACAUCUAAGUACCCCGAGGAAAAGAAAUCAACCGAGAUUCCCCCAGUAGCGGCGAGCGAACGGGGAGCAGCCCAGAGCCUGAAUCAGUGUGUGUGUUAGUGGAAGCGUCUGGAAAGGCGCGCGAUACAGGGUGACAGCCCCGUACACAAAAAUGCACAUGCUGUGAGCUCGAUGAGUAGGGCGGGACACGUGGUAUCCUGUCUGAAUAUGGGGGGACCAUCCUCCAAGGCUAAAUACUCCUGACUGACCGAUAGUGAACCAGUACCGUGAGGGAAAGGCGAAAAGAACCCCGGCGAGGGGAGUGAAAAAGAACCUGAAACCGUGUACGUACAAGCAGUGGGAGCACGCUUAGGCGUGUGACUGCGUACCUUUUGUAUAAUGGGUCAGCGACUUAUAUUCUGUAGCAAGGUUAACCGAAUAGGGGAGCCGAAGGGAAACCGAGUCUUAACUGGGCGUUAAGUUGCAGGGUAUAGACCCGAAACCCGGUGAUCUAGCCAUGGGCAGGUUGAAGGUUGGGUAACACUAACUGGAGGACCGAACCGACUAAUGUUGAAAAAUUAGCGGAUGACUUGUGGCUGGGGGUGAAAGGCCAAUCAAACCGGGAGAUAGCUGGUUCUCCCCGAAAGCUAUUUAGGUAGCGCCUCGUGAAUUCAUCUCCGGGGGUAGAGCACUGUUUCGGCAAGGGGGUCAUCCCGACUUACCAACCCGAUGCAAACUGCGAAUACCGGAGAAUGUUAUCACGGGAGACACACGGCGGGUGCUAACGUCCGUCGUGAAGAGGGAAACAACCCAGACCGCCAGCUAAGGUCCCAAAGUCAUGGUUAAGUGGGAAACGAUGUGGGAAGGCCCAGACAGCCAGGAUGUUGGCUUAGAAGCAGCCAUCAUUUAAAGAAAGCGUAAUAGCUCACUGGUCGAGUCGGCCUGCGCGGAAGAUGUAACGGGGCUAAACCAUGCACCGAAGCUGCGGCAGCGACGCUUAUGCGUUGUUGGGUAGGGGAGCGUUCUGUAAGCCUGCGAAGGUGUGCUGUGAGGCAUGCUGGAGGUAUCAGAAGUGCGAAUGCUGACAUAAGUAACGAUAAAGCGGGUGAAAAGCCCGCUCGCCGGAAGACCAAGGGUUCCUGUCCAACGUUAAUCGGGGCAGGGUGAGUCGACCCCUAAGGCGAGGCCGAAAGGCGUAGUCGAUGGGAAACAGGUUAAUAUUCCUGUACUUGGUGUUACUGCGAAGGGGGGACGGAGAAGGCUAUGUUGGCCGGGCGACGGUUGUCCCGGUUUAAGCGUGUAGGCUGGUUUUCCAGGCAAAUCCGGAAAAUCAAGGCUGAGGCGUGAUGACGAGGCACUACGGUGCUGAAGCAACAAAUGCCCUGCUUCCAGGAAAAGCCUCUAAGCAUCAGGUAACAUCAAAUCGUACCCCAAACCGACACAGGUGGUCAGGUAGAGAAUACCAAGGCGCUUGAGAGAACUCGGGUGAAGGAACUAGGCAAAAUGGUGCCGUAACUUCGGGAGAAGGCACGCUGAUAUGUAGGUGAAGCGACUUGCUCGUGGAGCUGAAAUCAGUCGAAGAUACCAGCUGGCUGCAACUGUUUAUUAAAAACACAGCACUGUGCAAACACGAAAGUGGACGUAUACGGUGUGACGCCUGCCCGGUGCCGGAAGGUUAAUUGAUGGGGUUAGCGCAAGCGAAGCUCUUGAUCGAAGCCCCGGUAAACGGCGGCCGUAACUAUAACGGUCCUAAGGUAGCGAAAUUCCUUGUCGGGUAAGUUCCGACCUGCACGAAUGGCGUAAUGAUGGCCAGGCUGUCUCCACCCGAGACUCAGUGAAAUUGAACUCGCUGUGAAGAUGCAGUGUACCCGCGGCAAGACGGAAAGACCCCGUGAACCUUUACUAUAGCUUGACACUGAACAUUGAGCCUUGAUGUGUAGGAUAGGUGGGAGGCUUUGAAGUGUGGACGCCAGUCUGCAUGGAGCCGACCUUGAAAUACCACCCUUUAAUGUUUGAUGUUCUAACGUGGACCCGUAAUCCGGGUUGCGGACAGUGUCUGGUGGGUAGUUUGACUGGGGCGGUCUCCUCCUAAAGAGUAACGGAGGAGCACGAAGGUUGGCUAAUCCUGGUCGGACAUCAGGAGGUUAGUGCAAUGGCAUAAGCCAGCUUGACUGCGAGCGUGACGGCGCGAGCAGGUGCGAAAGCAGGUCAUAGUGAUCCGGUGGUUCUGAAUGGAAGGGCCAUCGCUCAACGGAUAAAAGGUACUCCGGGGAUAACAGGCUGAUACCGCCCAAGAGUUCAUAUCGACGGCGGUGUUUGGCACCUCGAUGUCGGCUCAUCACAUCCUGGGGCUGAAGUAGGUCCCAAGGGUAUGGCUGUUCGCCAUUUAAAGUGGUACGCGAGCUGGGUUUAGAACGUCGUGAGACAGUUCGGUCCCUAUCUGCCGUGGGCGCUGGAGAACUGAGGGGGGCUGCUCCUAGUACGAGAGGACCGGAGUGGACGCAUCACUGGUGUUCGGGUUGUCAUGCCAAUGGCACUGCCCGGUAGCUAAAUGCGGAAGAGAUAAGUGCUGAAAGCAUCUAAGCACGAAACUUGCCCCGAGAUGAGUUCUCCCUGACUCCUUGAGAGUCCUGAAGGAACGUUGAAGACGACGACGUUGAUAGGCCGGGUGUGUAAGCGCAGCGAUGCGUUGAGCUAACCGGUACUAAUGAACCGUGAGGCUUAACCUU
rnacentral:rRNA from 1 species